rnacentral:rRNA from 1 species
ACGUCUACAUUAGAUACCCGUGUAGUCCUAGCCGUAAACGAUACUCGCUAGGUGUCGGCCACGGUGCGACCGUUGUCGGUGCCGUAGGGAAGCCGUGAAGCGAGCCACCUGGGAAGUACGGCCGCAAGGCUGAAACUUAAAGGAAUUGGCGGGGGAGCACCACAACGGGUGGAGCUUGCGGUUUAAUUGGAUUCAACGCCGGAAAUCUUACCGGGACCGACAGCAACAUGAAGGCCAGGCUGAAGACUUUGCCGGAUUAGCUG